UACAGAGGGUGCAAGCGUUGCUCGGAUUUACUGGGCGUAAAGCGUACGCAGACGGUAAGAAAGGUCGGAUGUGAAAGCCCCGGGCUCAACCCGGGAACUGCAUCCGAAACCAUCUUGCUAGAGUAUGAGAGAGGGAAGCGGAAUUCCUGGUGUAGAGGUGAAAUUCGUAGAUAUCAGGAGGAACACCGGCGGCGAAGGCGGCUUCCUGGCUCAUUACUGACGUUCAGGUACGAAAGCGUGGGUAGCAAACAGGAUUAGAUACCCUGGUAGUCCACGCCGUAAACGAUGUGUGCUGGAUGUCGGGGGUAUUCACCCCCUCGGUAUCGAAGCUAACGCGAUAAGCACACCGCCUGGGGAGUACGGCCGCAAGGUUGAA
rnacentral:rRNA from 1 species